rnacentral:rRNA from 1 species
AUGGCCUUCAGAUGCGCUGAGUUAGUUUGUGCUACUAAAUCCUUCUCUGAGAAGCUGGGUGGAGGUGGAUUUGGUUCUGUAUACAAGGGAAUGUUAAGUGACUCAAAGGCUAGUAUAGCAGUGAAAAGGCUUGAUGCCACCCAUCAAGGAGAGAAGCAAUUCAGGGCUGAGGUGAGAUCAAUUGGGCUGAUCCAACAUAUCAACCUGGUCCAACUUAUUGGUUUUUGUUGUGAAGGUGAUCAUAGAUUACUUGUGUAUGCACACAUGGUAAAUGGGUCUCUUGAUCGUCAUCUAUUUAAGGUCAGCGAUACUGACGAUGUUGCUGCCCUAAAUUUGAACACUAGAUACCAAAUAACCUUAGGAGUUGCUAGAGGAUUGUCCUACUUGCAUCAAAGUUGUCGCGAGUGCAUCAUACACUGUGAUAUUAAACCAGAGAACAUACUGCUAGACGGAUCAUUUCUUCCUAAAGUUGCAGACUUUGGGCUAGCGGCGUGUGUGGGAAGGGAUUUUAGCCGAAUCCUGACAAGUUUCAGAGGAACGAUGAGUUAUCUUGCCCCAGAGUGGCUUAGCGGAGUUGCUAUCACGCCAAAAGUUGAUGUUUACGCCUUCGGCAUGGUGUUGUUGGAAAUCAUGUUAGGAGGAGGAAUUCCACACGUGAAAGUUCAUACAACACCACCAACAAUAGUAACUACCAGCAUGUUAAAUAUUUCCCUGUACAAGCCAUCAGCAAGCUUCAUAGCGGUGAUGUGCAUAGUUUGGUGGAUCCACGGCUAA